AAAUGGCCGCAGUAUUUUAACUGUGCAAAGGUAGCAUAAUCAUUAGUCUUUUAAUUGAAGGCUUGUAUGAAUGGUUGGACGAAAUAUUAACUGUUUCAUAAAAAUUGAUUUAGAAUUUUAUUUUUUAGUUAAAAAGCUAGAAUGUGUUUAAAAGACGAGAAGACCCUAUAGAUCUUUAUAUUUUAUAUGUUAUAAUUAUUUAGUUUAUUUGUUUUAUGAUUAUAUAAAAUAUUUUGUUGGGGUGAUAUUAAAAUUUAAAUAACUUUUAAUUUUAAUUUACAUUAAUUUAUGAAUAGCUGAUCCAUUAGUAAUGAUUAAAAAUUUAAGUUACCUUAGGGAUAACAGCGUAAUUUUUUUGAAGAGUUCAUAUCGAUAAAAAAGAUUGCGACCUCGAUGUUGGAUUAAGAGAUAAUUUUGGGUGCAGCAAUUCAAUUAUUAAGUC
rnacentral:rRNA from 1 species